AACGCCGCGUGAACGAUGAAAGUUUUUCGAUUGUAAAAAUUUGUUGUUUGGGGAGGACAAGUACCGUUCGUAUACGGCGGUACCUUGACGGUACCUAACGAGAAAGCCCCGGCUAACUACGUGCCAGCAGCCGCGGUAAUACGUAGGGGGCAAGCGUUGUCCGGAAUUAUUGGGCGUAAAGCGCGCGCAGGUGGUUCCUUAAGUCUGAUGUGAAAGCCCCCGGCUCAACCGUGGAGGGUCAUUGGAAACUGGGGAACUUGAGUGCAGGAGAGGAAAGUGGAAUUCCACGUGUAGCGGUGAAAUGCGUAGAGAUGUGGAGGAACACCAGUGGCGAAGGCGACUUUCUGGCCUGUAACUGACACUGAGGCGCGAAAGCGUGGGGAGCGAACAGGAUUAGAUACCCUGGUAGUCCCCGCCGUAAACGAUGAGUGCUAAGUGUUAGGGGGUUUCCGCCCCUUAGUGCCGCAGCUAAC
rnacentral:rRNA from 1 species